GACAGAGGGUGCAAACGUUGUUCGGAAUUACUGGGCGUAAAGCGCGUGUAGGCGGUUUUGUAAGUCGGGUGUGAAAGCCCUGGGCUCAACCCAGGAAGUGCACUCGAAACUGCAAGGCUAGAGUAUCGGAGAGGUUGGUGGAAUUCUCGGUGUAGAGGUGAAAUUCGUAGAUAUCGAGAGGAACACCGGUGGCGAAGGCGGCCAACUGGACGAAUACUGACGCUGAGACUCGAAAGCGUGGGGAGCGAACAGG
rnacentral:rRNA from 1 species